GCUGCUACGGUUCCUAGAAGGAGAACCGGGAUCUCAGGUUUGUUAAGAGCUGCUAUUCUGGUGAGUGAUACUUUUGGGAGCGGUUCUUUACUCGCUGUUCCAGCUUCCUCUUGGCCAACUCGUUGGCUACUGCUACCAAGGUCUAGUCCUGUGGAUAAACCAA